CUGGAGAGGGACGGUGACAUGCUCGUACCGUUAUGCUCUCUCCAGCUGCUGCAGGACAGGAGCAAGGUGGAAGUAUACUUGAAGCAGAGCCUGCCGUACCUGAAAAACACCCAGGCCACCUUGCGAGAGGCAGCCAUCAGGUUCAUUGACCUCAAGGCCCUGAUGAAUGACACUGAACCCUCAGUCCAGUCCCUGGCAGCUCAGACCUUGGUGAUCCUGGGGACACCAAGGAAGCAGCAAACCUCAGGGUGGUCCCUACGAACACUGUGCUGCUGGCUCUGCAGAGACAGGGAGAGGUGAAAUAAGCCUCCGGAAAAUGGCCAUAUUUGAAUACUACUUUUU
rnacentral:lncRNA from 1 species